rnacentral:rRNA from 1 species
AUACGGAGGGGGCUAGCGUUGUUCGGAAUUACUGGGCGUAAAGCGCGCGUAGGCGGGCUGGUCAGUUGGGGGUGAAAUCCCGAGGCUUAACCUCGGAACUGCCCUCAAUACUGCCAGUCUUGAGUUCGAGAGAGGUGAGUGGAAUUCCUAGUGUAGAGGUGAAAUUCGUAGAUAUUAGGAAGAACACCAGUGGCGAAGGCGGCUCACUGGCUCGAUACUGACGCUGAGGCGCGAAAGCGUGGGUAGCAAACAGGAUUAGAAACCCCAGUAGUCC